ACGGGUGAGUAAUAUAUCGGAACGUGCCCAGUAGUGGGGGAUAGCCCGGCGAAAGCCGGAUUAAUACCGCAUACGACCUACGGGUGAAAGCGGGGGAUCGCAAGACCUCGCGCUAUUGGAGCGGCCGAUAUCAGAUUAGGUAGUUGGUGGGGUAAAAGCCUACCAAGCCGACGAUCUGUAGCUGGUCUGAGAGGACGACCAGCCACACUGGGACUGAGACACGGCCCAGACUCCUACGGGAGGCAGCAGUGGGGAAUUUUGGACAAUGGGCGCAAGCCUGAUCCAGCCAUGCCGCGUGCGGGAAGAAGGCCUUCGGGUUGUAAACCGCUUUUGUCAGGGAAGAAACGGUCUGAUCUAAUACAUCGGACUAAUGACGGUACCUGAAGAAUAAGCACCGGCUAACUACGUGCCAGCAGCCGCGGUAAUACGUAGGGUGCAAGCGUUAAUCGGAAUUACUGGGCGUAAAGCGUGCGCAGGCGGCUUUGCAAGACAGAUGUGAAAUCCCCGGGCUCAACCUGGGAACUGCAUUUGUGACUGCAAGGCUAGAGUACGGUAGAGGGGGAUGGAAUUCCGCGUGUAGCAGUG
rnacentral:rRNA from 2 species